UACGUAGGGGGCAAGCGUUGUCCGGAUUUAUUGGGCGUAAAGAGCGUGUAGGCGGCCUGACAGGUCUGCUGUGAAAACUCGAGGCUCAACCUCGAGAUGUCGGCGGAAACCGUCUGGCUAGAGUCCGGAAGAGGAGAGUGGAAUUCCUGGUGUAGCGGUGAAAUGCGCAGAUAUCAGGAAGAACACCUAUGGCGAAGGCAGCUCUCUGGGGACGGUAC
rnacentral:rRNA from 1 species